rnacentral:lncRNA from 1 species
CCCAGCCCUCUCCCUCCUAUUUUUCAUGGCUCAGAUACCACACACUGACUGAGAGUUCACCUCUUCCUUGACUUCAGACGCCUUCUGUUUUCUCUGGUUUUCUACUAAGCUCUCCUUCUCUUCCCCUCCCCAUUCCUAAUUCUCUUCUAGUUAUAUUCAAAACAUUUUAAGUUUUAAUUGAUGUGUGAUAAUUGCACAUAUUUGUGAUGCACAAUAGGAUACCUCUAUAAAUGUAAACAAUGUGUAAUAUCACAUCAGGGUAAUCGGCAUAUCCAUUGCCUCAAACACCUUUCUUUUGUAUUGAGAACAAUCAAAAUCUCUCCAUUAGCUUUUUUUUUUAAAUUAAGGGUCUAUAAAUUUCAGCACAUUUGGUUAUUUUGAACUAUUUAAUUGUUGUCAAGCUUACUGUACUUAAAAUAGAAGAUAUCCCUCCUAUCCAAUUGUACUUUGUACUGUCAAUCAUCCUCUCUCCACCCUUCCCAUUCCGCAUUUGUGUGAAGAAUAAGUGAAGUUUUCACCCUUUCCCUAGAAAGAGUCCCAUAGUCUCAAAGGUCAGCCAUUGUCCUUCUGAAUAUUCUGCUACAUAACACUAAAUUGUAUAAACAUAAAAUGAGGAGAGAAAAAGGAAAUAGUUUGCAUAUACAAAUAAACACAUGCCUAUUAGGAAAGAGAAAAUACAUCAAGCUGCUAGAGUCCCCAUUUCUGUAAUUGGUCAUAAGUUCCAAGUUGGAUACUAUGGUUCCUUCUUUAAUUAUUCAGGUCAUAUUUACCUGGACAUCACCUAGAAUCUUAGAUAACUAGAAUUUUACCUGGCGAAAUGAAGCCAAACUCCAUUCCUGAAGGUCAGCCAUCAUCCUGCUGUCUUUUAGUUACUGUAGUCUUCCACUGGCCUUUGCCAUUGGGCUUGGAAGUAGUCAGAGCUACCUGGCAGAACCCCUGGGUUCCCAUAGACCAUUCUUGCCCCUACUCAUAGUGGGGCCCACUUUCCUCCUACUCAAAAGAAUCAAUGACUCUUGCCAGUAGAGUUAUCCUUUUGUCUACAGUUUGUUCAGUGGCAUGAAAAGUCUACAAUGGCCAGGUGACAGUCUCAUCUUCCAAUACAAUGAAACCAUUGUUGUGUCACCUGGAGGAAGAAUUUCUCCCUUGGGAAAUAAGACCUCCAAAUCAGCAAAGCUCAAAUUGGACAAGAUGGGAAGCAAAAGUUCUACAAAUGGGUUAUUCAAUAGAGUAGGGAGAAGAACAAGAUCCAAUUCCACUCCUUGGUUCUGACUCAUCUGUUCGGGCUAUACAGGAGACAGCACCACAUAAUGGUCUCUGAUUAAAGUACAUCCUGCUUCCUAUAAAAUAGAACCUCAUUUUUUAAGGAUGUGAUCUCUCAAGUAAUGCCUACAUGAAGUUAUUGGUUAAUUGAUUGAUUGUGGAACUGGGGAUUGAACCCAGGGCCUAAUGCAUGCUAGAGCCAAGCAUUCUACUAUCGAGCUAUAUCCUCAGCAGCAUCCCCAGCCCCCACUGACCUUUUUUGUUACCAGAGAUCAAAUCCAGGGUCACUUCAUAACUGAGCCACAUUCUCCAGCCCAUUUUAUGUUUUUAUUUUGAGACAGGGUGUCACUAAGUUGCUGAGGCUGGCUUUGAACUUGCAAUCCUCCUACCUCUGCCUCCUCAGCUGCUGGGAUUACAGGCAUGUGUCACCAUGCCCAGCUUCUUGGCCCUUUUUAAAAGUUUGAGACAAGAGUUUUUGUAAAUUACCCAUGCUGGCCUCAAACUUGGAGUCCUCCUGUCUCAGCCUUCUGAGUAACUGGGAUUACAGGCAUGUGCCACCACCCUGAUUAAGUGUGGGUUGUUUCUUCUCCCUAAUGCACAGUUACUCUAGUAAACGGGCACUGUCCCUUUAUCAAGGAGACUCAAACUUCUCUUCAACUGAAGGACUCUGGAUAUAUGCUGACUUGGGUCUGGAAACUGGGAGAGGGACCAUGAAUCUCCAUUGUG